UGCGGGGUGGAGCAGCCCGGUAGCUCGUCAGGCUCAUAACCUGAAGGCCGCAGGUUCAAAUCCUGCCCCCGCAACCA
rnacentral:tRNA from 4 species